GCUUCGAGUGGGUGUUCCCAGACUUAGUCACUGCAGGAUUCCAGCAGCCUAAUGGUACUUGGCUAGGCGUUAUAAGCUAUCUUAUCCGCCAGGAGUGUGAUAUAUCGGGUUCUUCAUUUCCUAUGAAUCAUCUGCGAUUUCACACUGUCGACUUCAGUAUACCGAUAUUCAUGGAGUCUUCUGUGAUUGCAUACCAGAGUCCAGUAAUUGGAGCAGAUCUCGCUGGUUUUGUGAAACCUUUUACAACUUUUAUAUGGCUCCUCAUCCUAGCAUCAAUGGUUGCGGUCAUGAUGAUGAUUUUCUUCAUUGAGUGGGGUGAGAGUUUCCUCUUCCGUCAGCAACAGAG